rnacentral:lncRNA from 1 species
UUUUGGAGUGAAAGAGGAGGAGGGGGAGAUGACUGUUACAUUGGAGGAAGAAGAGGAGGUUGGAGAUCUGUUUAACACCACCAGUUCAGAUGCAGGAGGGGUUCACCGACACAGCUGAUAUAACCUAGAGGAUUUAGGGAGAAGGGGAGAGAGGGAUGAAGUGAAGGAGAGAGACUGUUAUUGAGAAAAUAAGGGAACAGCACCCUCUUUGAAGAAGUAGGAGGUGAAGAUCUCCUGCACACGGAUUGGCUCUCUUGCUGCGUUGUUGGACCCCAUCCUUGAAACAUCCUGCAGAGCAGCAGACUCCUCCUCUGGCACACGGCGGCGAGCUGCAGAUCCCCUCCUGGUCCUCGUGUCCAUCCUCAUGAAGUUACGCAGGACACAGGUAGCCUUCACACACCUGAAUUCCUCCAGGAGGCAGUCCCAGAUGACCCUGGUCACCCAACCUUGCAGUGCCCUACACGGUAAC